CCCUUAGAUGUUCUGGGCCGCACGCGCGCUACACUGAUGCAUUCAACGGGCCUAUCCUUGACCGACAGGUCCGGGUAAUCUUUGAAUCUGCAUCGUGACGGGGAUAGAUUAUUGCAAUUAUUAAUCUUCAACGAGGAAUGCCUAGUAGGCGCAAGUCAUCAGCUUGCGUCGAUUACGUCCCUGCCCUUUGUACACACCGCCCGUCGCUCCUACCGAUUGGGUGUGCUGGUGAAAUGUUCGGAUCGGCCGUUUGUCGCGGUUUCCGCGGCUCGUGGCUGAGAAGUUCAUUAAACCCUCCCACCUAGAGGAAGGAGAAGUCGUAACA
rnacentral:rRNA from 1 species